CAGCAGCCGCGGUAAUACGUAGGGGGCUAGCGUUAUCCGGAUUUACUGGGCGUAAAGGGUGCGUAGGUGGUCCUUCAAGUCGGUGGUUAAAGGCUACGGCUCAACCGUAGUAAGCCGCCGAAACUGGAGAACUUGAGUGCAGGAGAGGAAAGUGGAAUUCCCAGUGUAGCGGUGAAAUGCGUAGAUAUUGGGAGGAACACCAGUAGCGAAGGCGGCUUUCUGGACUGCAACUGACACUGAGGCACGAAAGCGUGGGUAGCAAACAGGAUUAGAUACCCUGGUAGUCCACGCUGUAAACGAUGAGUACUAGGUGUCGGGGGUUACCCCCCUCGGUGCCGCAGCUAACGCAUUAAGUACUCCGCCUGGGGAGUACGCACGCAAGUGUGAAACUCAAAGGAAUUGACGGGGACCCGCACAAGUAGCGGAGCAUGUGGUUUAAUUCGAAGCAACGCGAAGAACCUUACCUAAGCUUGACAUCCCUCGGACAGGUGUUUAAUCACACCCUUCCUUCGGGACUGAGGUGACAGGUGGUGCAUGGUUGUCGUCAGCUCGUGUCGUGAGAUGUUGGGUUAAGUCCCGCAACGAGCGCAACCCUUGUCUUUAGUUGCCAGCAUUCAGUUGGGCACUCUAGAGAGACUGCCAGGGAUAACCUGGAGGAAGGUGGGGAUGACGUCAAAUCAUCAUGCCCCUUAUGCUUAGGGCUACACACGUGCUACAAUGGGUGGUACAGAGGGUUGCCAAACCGUGAGGUGGAGCCAAUCCCUUAAAGCCAUUCUCAGUUCGGAUUGUAGGCUGAAACUCGCCUACAUGAAGCUGGAGUUACUAGUAAUCGCAGAUCAGAAUGCUGCGGUGAAUGCGUUCCCGGGUCUUGUACACACCGCCCGUCACACCACGGGAGUCGGAAACACCCGAAGCCGAUUAUCCAACCGCAAGGAGGAAGUCGUCGAAGGUGGCGUCGAUAACUGGGGUGAAGUCGUAACAAGGUGCCGU
rnacentral:rRNA from 1 species